UUGGAGGGCAAGUCUGGUGCCAGCAGCCGCGGUAAUUCCAGCUCCAAUAGCGUAUAUUAAAGUUGUUGCAGUUAAAAAGCUCGUAGUUGAAUUUCGGAGUUUAUCGGUUGGUCGGGCUUCACUGUCCGCACUGCCCUGAUUGAUUCCUACCUUCUGAAUAACCAGCAUGCUAUUAAGUUAGUGCGUUGGGGAAGCAGAGCUACUACCUUGAAAGAAUUAGAGUGCUUAAAGCAGGCUUAUGCUUGAAUAGAUUAGCAUGGAAUAAUAAAAUAGGACGGCAUGGUUCUAUUUUGUUGGUUUCUAGGAUCCCCGUAAUGAUUAAUAGGGAUAGUUGGGGGCAUUAGUAUUCAAUUGUCAGAGGUGAAAUUCUUGGAUUUAUUGAAGACUAACUUCUGCGAAAGCAUUUGCCAAGGAUGUUUUCAUUAAUCAAGAACGAAAGUUAGGGGAUCGAAGACGAUCAGAUACCGUCGUAGUCUUAACCAUAAACUAUGCCGACUAGGGGUCGGACGAUGUUAAUUUUUUAAUGACUCGUUCGGCGCCUUACGGGAAAC
rnacentral:rRNA from 1 species